rnacentral:rRNA from 1 species
GACAGAGGGUGCAAACGUUGCUCGGAAUCACUGGGCGUAAAGGGCGUGUAGGCGGGAAGGAAAGUCAGAUGUGAAAUCCCUGGGCUCAACCCAGGAACUGCAUUUGAAACUCCCUUUCUUGAGUGUCGGAGAGGAAAGCGGAAUUCCUGGUGUAGAGGUGAAAUUCGUAGAUAUCAGGAGGAACACCGGUGGCGAAGGCGGCGUUCUGGACUGCAACUGACACUGAUAAACGAAAGCCAGGGUAGCAAACGGG